UGCAAGUCGAACGAACUCUGGUAUUGAUUGGUGCUUGCAUCAUGAUUUACAUUUGAGUGAGUGGCGAACUGGUGAGUAACACGUGGGAAACCUGCCCAGAAGCGGGGGAUAACACCUGGAAACAGAUGCUAAUACCGCAUAACAACUUGGACCGCAUGGUCCGAGCUUGAAAGAUGGCUUCGGCUAUCACUUUUGGAUGGUCCCGCGGCGUAUUAGCUAGAUGGUGGGGUAACGGCUCACCAUGGCAAUGAUACGUAGCCGACCUGAGAGGGUAAUCGGCCACAUUGGGACUGAGACACGGCCCAAACUCCUACGGGAGGCAGCAGUAGGGAAUCUUCCACAAUGGACGAAAGUCUGAUGGAGCAACGCCGCGUGAGUGAAGAAGGGUUUCGGCUCGUAAAACUCUGUUGUUAAAGAAGAACAUAUCUGAGAGUAACUGUUCAGGUAUUGACGGUAUUUAACCAGAAAGCCACGGCUAACUACGUGCCAGCAGCCGCGGUAAUACGUAGGUGGCAAGCGUUGUCCGGAUUUAUUGGGCGUAAAGCGAGCGCAGGCGGUUUUUUAAGUCUGAUGUGAAAGCCUUCGGCUCAACCGAAGAAGUGCAUCGGAAACUGGGAAACUUGAGUGCAGAAGAGGACAGUGGAACUCCAUGUGUAGCGGUGAAAUGCGUAGAUAUAUGGAAGAACACCAGUGGCGAAGGCGGCUGUCUGGCUGUAACUGACGCUGAGGCUCGAA
rnacentral:rRNA from 1 species